rfam:Ixodes scapularis strain Wikel colony gcontig_1108379092360, whole genome shotgun sequence.
CCCUGGUUAGCUCAGUUGAUAGAGCGCUCCACUGGAAAUGGAGAGGUCCCUGCUUCGAUACCAGGACCAGGCG